AAAAUUUCAACAAUAGACUUCCUUAUCCACGCACACACAACAUACAUAUUCGUCCUCUUAUUAUACUUUUUUUUUUGAAACAAAAGUUGAGUUUGAGGUUUGCUUGGGGGGUUUCGAGUUCGUGGUUCCCUAUUAGGAUUGCUCUUUUUUCGUGAGUUUGAGUUUCGCAAGAGGUACUAUUUAACAUUUAUUUUAAUUGAUUUUCAUGAUUAUAUAGUACUUAAUUCCAAUGUUAUGAAUUGGCUCAAAAUUUAUGUUUGUUCAACUUUUUCAUUAUAAUAUUGAAAUAUGGUAAACAUGUGUAUUGUUAAAUUUAGAAUAAAUUUUAUAUAAUAUCGUAUUUUGAUCUUUAUGUCUAUUAUUCGGUGAUACCGUUCUUGAUCCUAUUUUACCGCACAAAUUCAUAUGCUGUUUUUUUUACUUAUUUUAAAAAGAAAAAAAAAUUAUUUGUGAGUCUAAGCAUGAAGAAAUUUAUUAUUGAAUUAAAGUUAUUUAUUUAUGUGAGGAUCUAAUCAUGAGUUGUAUAUUUAGUGUAUUUGAACACUUAUGUAUUUGAGCAUAGAGUUGAGGCUUCUACAUUAUUAAUAUCGUGAGAAUAAACUUGCUUCAGUGUUAUAACGAAUAGUACAUCUAAAUGUUGUCUUCAUAUUAUAAUACAAGUUGUUUGUCAACUUUAUUCAUUUUUCUUAAUAUGUAUAUGGUAUCUUUAACAUGAUAGGUGUGUUUGUUUAUUAUUUUUAUCAUCACUUGUUCAAUAAAUAUAAACAAUAAAGAACAAAUUGGAUUAAACAUGAUAAAGGAUAUAUUUAUUGUAAAACUUUAAAUUUAUUUUUUAUUAAAGAUCGUAUAGCUUUGUUAAUUUUUUUAGUCAAGCUUUAAGAUGUGUCGAACUACAAACGAGUUAAGACACAUGGUAAAGUGGAUUUCAAUAAAAAAAUGUGAUUCCACAUCUUUUUUGAGAUAUUUAAAGAUGAGCAUAAUAAUAAUAAUAAUGGUAAUAAUAAUAAUCAUAAUAAUAAUAAUAAUAAUAAUAAUAAUAAUAAUAAUAAUAAUAAUAAUAAUAAUAAUAAUAAUAAUAAUAAUAAUAAUAAUAAUAAUAAUAAUAAUAAUGUUUCAAUUAAGAAUGUGGUUACACAUUUUUUUUUGAAACACUUAAAAGAAAUCUAAGAAUGCAGUUAUGCACCUUGGACAAAUUAUUUUAAUGGUCAAAUUUAUUAAAUUUAAACUAGCAUUUGUAAACUGAGAAUAUUAGGUGAUGCACUCGAGAGGGAAGACAGUUAUGUCUCUAAAUGUCAAGAUCGAGAAUGCAGUUAUGUAUCCGGUUUAAGAUUAAUAAAAAUUCAACAAUUAAAAAAUAAGCAAACCAUGGCAUAUACACAAAUUAUCCAAAAAUAUAUCAAGUAAAGUACAAGUCAAUAAAAGCGACGUGCUAGAAUCACGGGACUCGAGGGAUGCCUAAUACCUUCCCCUCGGUCAUAAGAAUUCCUUACCCGAAUUUCUGGUUCGCAUACCAAAACUAAAGAGUCAUUUCCUUUUGAUUAGGGAUUAAACAAAAAGUGACUUGGAACACCAUAACUCAAUUCCAAGUGGCGACUCUGAAAUAAUAAAAUAAUCCCUAAUCAAUAUUGUCGCUUAAAUUGGAAAAACCCUCCACCGUGCGCGAAAAGGGGUGUGACAAAUAUCCACCAAAUUAGCCUUGGUUUAGCAUCCUUCUUAUUUAAUAGGUACCUACUAGCUGCAUGAUCAGCAUAAACAAUUACCUUGGUACCUACCAAAGAUGAUCUGAACUUGUCGAAAGCGCACACUAGGGUGAGCAUCUCCUUCAAAGUCACUGUGUAAUUAGCUUGUACAGAAUCCAGGGUCUUGCUUCAAUAAUAGAUUCAAUGAAACAUUUUAUCUUUUCUUUGUCCCAAUACCGCACCCACUUCUACAUCGCUUUCAUCACACAUGAGUUCAAAUGGUAAUUCCCAAUAAGGAGAAAUUAAAAUGGGAGCUUAAAUUAAGUUCCUCUUUAACAUCACAAAAACAUUCAAACACAUCUCAUCAAAUCCAAAUUUCACCUCCUUCUCCAAAGGAAUGCACACAGGUCUAGCAAUUUUGGAAAAAUUCUUAAUGAAUCUCCCGUAAAAACGUACAUGUCCAAGGAAACUUUACACCCGUUUUAUAGAGAUAGGAGGGGGCAAUUAUUAAAUAACUUCCACCUUGGCUUUAUCUACCUCUAGUCCCAAUUUUGACACCUUAUGACCAAACAUUAUACCCUCUUGAACCAAGAAGUGACAAUUUUUCCCAAUUCAGUUCUAAAUUGGUGUUUUCACAUCUAGAAAGUACUUUAACAAGAUUCUAGAGACAUACCACAAAAGACUUCCCAAAGAUAGAGGAAUCAUUCAUGAACACCUCUACAAAGACCUACACCAUAUCAUGAAAAAUGGCCAUCAUACACCUUAGAAAAGUCGCCGGCGCAUUGCAAAGUCCAACUGGCAUGCGUUUGAAAGCAUAUGUACCAUAAGGACAAGUAAACAUGGUCUCUUCCUCAUCCUCUAGUGCAAUCAAAAUCUGAUUAUAUCCUAAAUACCCAUCUAAGAAACAAUAGUACUCCUGCCCUGCUAAUCGGUCAAUUAUCUGAUCAAUGAAGGGAACCGUGUAGUGAUAUUUUCGUGUGGUCACAUUUAGCUUCUGGUAAUCUAUACAAAUUCUCCAUUCUGUGACAUUUCUAGUGGGAAUCAACUAAUUUUUAUCGUUCUUUACCACUGUCGUACUUCCCUUCUUGGGAAAAUACUGCACAUGACUUACCCACUUACUAUAAAAAAUUGGAUACACGAUUCCCGCAGCUAACCACUUUAUUACUUCUUUUCUCACCACAUCUUUCAUCAAAGGAUUCAGUCUACGUUGAUGUGGUACACUCGGUUAGUGAUCCUCUUCCAUUUCGAUUUUGUGCAUACAUAACGCCGGACAAAUUCGAUGAAUAUCAGCUAUCUGCCAUCCAAUCGCUUUCUUUCUUCGCUUUAGGACUCUCAAUGCCCUAUCAACCUGUAUUUUACACAACUUUGCAGAAAGCAUUACAGGUAAAGUUUCAUUAGUAUCCGAAUAUGCAUACCUUAGGUGAGAAGGUAGAUAUUUCAAUUCCAACUUAGGUUCUUCUUCAAUUAAUGGUUUGGGUGGAGGCCCUAACUCACGAACCAAUGGCUCUAUUCUAUGCUUUUGUAUCUCCAUUACUGCCAGAUUCAAACAAGUUUCUAUCUCCUGAUCCUCAGUAUCUUCAUCUACAUUAUGUCCCACUAACACUCUUUCUAAGGGAUCCUUGGGUGCAAUGAGCUGUGAUUCUACUGAGAGAUCUACAAUUGUAAUAGCAGAUAACUCUUAAUAGAUAGAAGGGUUUCAAGGCGUGGUAAACAUCAAACAGUUCAACCUUAUCAUGAUCCAUCAUAGUUAACUACCCAACUGUUACAUCAAUCAAUGCCCUCCAUGUAGCCAAUAACAGAUGGCCCAGAAUGAAUGGAAUUUCACGAUCAGGCUCAAAGUUUAGGACCACAAAAUCCACCAAAAAUAAAAGGGAACCCACUUGUACUAACACUUCCUCUACUACCCCUUCUGGCCUAGCAAUGGACCUAUCAAUGAGUCGGGGAAUGACAGUGGUCAGUUUUGGACUACCUAACCCAGUUUCUUAUAUAAUGUUGGAUGCAUGAGAUUAAUGCUAACACCCAAAUCACACAACACCUGGGAAUGAACACAUUGCCCAAUUGUAAUUUUCGUAGUAAAACUACCUAGAUAUUUUAACUUCUUGGGUAAUCUAUUCUGGAUUCUAGAACUGCACUCCUAAGUAAGUGCUACCAUUUCAUACUCUGUGAGCCUUCUCUUGUUAGCCACAAUCUCCUUCACGUACUUAGCAUACUUUAGUAUUCCCUGCAAUAUGUCAACCAAAGGCAGGUUAAUUUGAACCUAUUUAAGAAGAAAGAGAAACCUACCAAAGCAUUCGUCUUCACUCUGCUUUUAAUGCUUUUGUGGAAAUGGACGGGUGUGGUCUCAUUUGAGGAAUGAACUUCUCAACAUUGGAGUUCUUUACCACCCCUUCUGCUUUCUUUUCUUUAGUUCUUACCUCAGUAUCUCUAUUCUUUGGAGCUAGUUCCUCUAGUUGUAACCCACUUCUAGUACUCACCGCAUUCAGUUCUUAGCAUUGGGUUUAGUAUCACCGGGAAAACCUCUUUGAGGACCCAAGUUGAAUGCAUUAUCUACCUGCGCAACUUGCUUUUCUAAACUCAUUGGGAACAUUAGGAUGUUCCUUAUGUUCUGAUUCUUCUUAUCUAUCCUAGCAUUUACCUUAAUACUGAUUUAUGCCAUAAACUUUUGGAGUAACUCUUCAUUAGUCAUUCCCCCUUAGGUGCACUAGAAUUUACGCCCUGGCUAGGAAUUUGGUAUUGUUGUCCUGUCCCUUUUGAGCGAUAUUGGUUAGACUCUUGCACUUGGUUUUGGUUUUGGUUCCCACCCCAUGAGAAAUUAUGAUGCUUUCUCCAACUAUAGUUAUAGGUAUUACCAUAGUUUUGCUGACCUCCACCUCUUUGCGCAUUUCCCACAUAGUUUACGGAAUCCAGAUUUGCCUCACAAUGUUCAGUUUCAUGUGCUCCACUACCACUGACUCUACACUAACUUGCUGUUUGUUGUACAACAUUCACCGGUGCUUGAUUUAGGGACAGUUGCUUGAAGUGCAUGGAUAUGUUAUGUUGCAUUCCAUCCAGUUUUGCAUUUAUUACGCUGGCUUGAUCCACAUCUAAGAUUCCUGCGGCCCUUUGUGUCGUGGUUCUUGGAAUUUCUCCUUCAUAACUGGGGUUUCCUUCGGAGAGUUUAUCUAGGAGAUCGAAUAGCUUCACACAUUUUUUCUAAGGAUUGUCCACCUGUUGCACUAUUAAUAAGUACCUUUGCAUUAUAAUCCAAACCCUCAUAGAAAGUGUGAGAAAGUAUCUCAUUAGCCUGAUAGUGAUGCGGACAAGCAUUUAACAAAUGUUUGAAUCGACCUCAUUCUUGGUACAUUCCUCCCCAUUUUUCUAUGUGGAGCUUAGUAUUUCUCUCCUCAACCAUGCGGUUUUACUUGAUGGAAAGAAUCGACUCAAGAACUUCUUUUCUAGAUAAUCCCAUGUAGUGAUUGAAUUUUGUCGCUCUUCGUCUAACCACUGCCUGGCGGCUCCCAAUAACGAGAUAGGAAACAACGUCAGCCUCACAUAAUCUGAUGACACUCUAUUCGAGAUGUAGGUAUCACUUAUCUCCAAAAAUUUCCUAAUGAGGAUUUGAGGAUCCUUAUGGUGGUUUCCUUAUACUAGACGUCACAUUGGCCUUGAUUGGGACUGCCACAUCAUGAGCUGGUCUUGCCGGUAUGUUCAGGGGUACCUCUUAUUCUUAGUUAUUCAUGUCUUCUUGGUUGUUCACAUUAUCUUCUAUGUUACCCUCACUGGUUUCAUGAAGACCCAACCUAAAUUCUUCUUGACGUCCUAGGUUAGUGAUUCUUCUGUGUCAGCAUAAAGCUUUUUUAGGUUCGUCGUUUGGUUCGACAAGGACUCCUUUCCGAGCCAAACUUAAGAAUCAAGUUCAUGCAAUACAAAAGAGCUAAGAUCAAGUUAUUAACACUUGAACAAUCUAAUUGUAGACUUAAGAAAAUCAAAUAUAAAUCAAUUUCUAACUCCCCGACAGCGGUACCAAAAACUUGUUGCGCCCCAAUAUACACGCAAGUGGACAUGUUUACUCAAGUCAUAUAGUUUCUUUUAUAAACGAGUUUUCGUUCCCAAGGGACUUGUGUUCAUCUUAUAACUAGAAACUUAAUUCUACAAUCAAACGAAAGUAACUUGUUUCUAAGAGUUUGAUGAUUAUUAACUACCAUUACAAAUUAUGCAAUAACUAAAAGUAACUAAUUGCGAACGACUUUAAAUUUGAUGUUUCAAGCAAUUAAAAGACAUUUCCAGGGCUGCAACAUGCAUUGGAUUUCAUGGAUCAUAUCUUAGGCAAUGAACUAAUUUCGAGUAUCAAGUUACUAAUUUACAGGGUUAAUUAUAUGAGUCGGGUCUCUCGACCUCUAGUCGCCUACUACAGUUAGUUGUCUAACUUCAUCGUUGAGCGAGGAUAGUAGGCCUAACUAGCGAGCAUUUAUGUUUCAUCCAGUUUCGUAACCAAGCAAGUUAUUUGUCCUGGCGUCACUCCUGAACACACAUCAACUCAAUGGAAGAUCGGGCUUUCUAUAUUCUUUAGUUUAUCUACCCUUUCCUCUCUUGAUUUUCAGAAUAGACAACAAAUUUAUUUCUUUGGUGAUCAAACAUGAAAUACUAAAAAAAGAAUAUAGAAGUAACUUGAACGAUAACCAAGAAUUAAUUCAAAAACCUUAAAUAUUAAACAUUCAAUAUGUAGCUACAACCCUAGAAAUAGGGCGUUUAGCCACUCAUAAUAUUCGAAAACCAAAGAAUAUAAUUGUUCAUGCGAUUCUUAAAUAAAAUAGAGUCAGCGAAUCGAAACAUAUUACAAAACUUGAAUUCUUGUUCUUGCAUACCAAAAAGUAGUCGAACCCCUUACAAAUCAAAUCUAGGUCCUAUUUAUAGAAUUUAAGAAAAGUAUGUCCAUGUUUAGCCCAAGAAGGAAUACUAUUUUAACCCAACUUUCGCCAAAACAUCUUCUUUGUCUUGGGGUGACGCGCUACAAUCGCGCCUGGCAGCGUUUGCAUUUCACGCUCUUGGCUCCAAAAAUUGCGUGUUUAUUUAUUAAAAGGUUGGAUAGUUAAAGUGCUUGUUUGUGCACUAUGAAAGUUGGAGGUCAAAGUUAAAAUUUGAAGCCAAGUUUAAGGUCCAAUAUAUGUAUUAUGCCUUUAAAAUUUUAACAAUUUCAUGCAUAAAAUAUCCCCAAAUAUCUUCGAUACAACGAGAACAACAUGAAGUCACGUCUCUUGAUAACUAUCCUAUUGCUUUUUACUAAAACCACAUCUAGAAUUUUCCAUCCAACUUCAUCGGCAAGGAGGGACGAAGAGGGGAAGAACCUUACCUUAAAUUGAUGGAGAUUUUUAUUCUUUUAAGUUCGAUUCUUAAAGAAGUGAAGUGUUACAGGGAACAGUUCUAAGUAGGAAAAGAGUUAAAUUAUAGUUACUAACAAAAUAUGUGCUUCUUUAACACUUCUAUGUAUAUGAAUCACUGUAAUAUUGCAUCAAGAUAUUUUGUUAAGAACAGUUUUUCUAUGAUACCAUGUCAAGGUGUAAGAGGCUUAUAUUUCUCACUUGUCACUUCUUCUCCCUUUAGAAUAGCACUAUCAAAGUUGAGUGUUCUUUAGUCAUAUCCUUACAUGUAUUUUUAUUUUUAGAUCCUUAGUAGGUAAAAUAAAGUUAAUGUACCUCUACAAUAAUGAAAAACUUUUCUAAGAAACACGGUUAUGAAAAAAAUAAUUAUAAAUAACUCACAGAUUUCCUUCCAAGUACAACUAUUCUAGGAUAUUAAAAUAAAAUUAUCCAAAUUAUUCAAAAGAAUGUUAUUUUAUAUAAUUUUCUAGGCAGAGUUAUGAAUUCUUACCUUGUAUAGUGGCUCAAGGACCCACCAUCCAUAAUCUCACUAAAUAUAGCUACUUGUUGUCGUGGAAUUGAAGACAUCAAAUAACUUAGCUUGGCUCCUAAACUCUUUUAAAUAAUAGCAGUGUUGCAAUAUAAUAAGGGCAUCAAAAUUUGAAUAAAAUGUUACAUUAAAUGCAAACUUUUCUUAGUAUGAAAGCUAUAUUUAUCAUUCAUAAUUCAUAUGCAGUUUUUUGGGUAUUAUAAUUUUAUUAUAAAAGUGUACUAUCUAGUAGUGAACUAAGUAACCUAAUAUGAAUAGAAGCACGAAAAAUUAAUAUAAAAUUGACUUUUACUUGAAUUCAAGGGCUUCAAGCUUGUUCUUGAAUAUGAUGGUCUUGUUCUUGAUCGUUCUUUAACUUGAAUGCUUGAAUUCUUAAACUUGUAGAUUAUAGUGAACUUUGUGGCGUUUCUACCAUAUGUUUUCUCUAGUUUCUUGUUUAGAAUUUUCGGUCCUUUUUUCUGAAUUAUGAGGACCCCUAUUUAUAGUUUUAAAAUAGAGGAGUUGUGAUUGGUAAAGGACUCCCUUCGUCCAAUCAGAUUUAAGGGACGUGGCAUAUGGGCUUUAUGGAGCGGGCUUUAAUUAAAUUCAUCUUUAUUGGAUUUAAAUAAUUUUCAAUUAGAUUAAUCCAUAAUAUUUAUUUGUAUUUCGGAAUUUAAUAUAAUCCGAAUCAUUUUAUAAAUUUAUAUUGAAUAAAUUUUAAAUGAUUACAAAUGCACCCUGCUUCACGUCUUGUCAAAAUAUUUUAUCAUUUGAAGACUAGACUUGAAGUAUUAACUUAUAUUAUAUGUCAUGUAUUUUUAUAUUCACCGUGAAUAUAUUAAUUAAUACAAUGCUCCACCAUAAUUAGAGAGACAUAUUUGAGUAAACAAUAAGACUUUAGUUACGAAUGCUUCACGUGGCCAGUACCCCUUCUCAAUGUGCAUGUACAAUUAGAGUAGGAGAAGGAGUGUUCAACCUCUUCCAGUUAAAUACGAGAAGAACAACUUUCCGUCCUAACUAAAUAUGAAUUGUAGUUAACGUAGGAAAAUGAUUUUUAAUCAAAAUGUACUUCACAUAGAAUUCAAACUAAAGAGGAAUUAUACGUAACAUAGGAAAAUGAUUUCUCACCACCACUUAUCCUCUAUAAGUAGAGGCCUGCUAUUAUUGUCUUUUUUAUUCUCAAUCAUUAACUAUUACAUACUUCCCACUUUGGAUAUCGUUGGAGCUUCCACGAGCAGGUAUCAAGGUAUGUGUUUUUUUUUGCUUUAUACCUUUAUUUUGUGUGGGUGUUCUUCCUCUUUUUUUGUGUCUUUCUUUUCAGAGACAAACAUAAAAAAUAUUAGUAUUUUGUGGGGCCUAUACAAUAGAGAGCUUUAUCAUAACACAAGAGCUUGAUCUUGAGGUUUGAAGGGAUGUGUUUAACGUCCCCAUCUUGAAGAUCACUAACUUGAGGCUUUACUAAAUUUUGAAUACUUGAGCAUAAGGUGUGAAGGGAUGUGUUUAACGUCCCCGCCUUGAAGAUCACUAACUUGAGGCUUUACUAAAAUUCCAAAUACUUGAGCAUAAGGUGUGAAGGGAUGUGUGAUGAGUCCGAGAUUUCAACUCAUUUAGGGCUUUGUUAUGAUAGUUUAAGUAUCCUCAAAUGCCUAUUUUAUGCUAUAAACUGAUGUUAAAGCAUUGAUUUGCAGGUAUGUAGACUAAGGAUCAAGGCAAGGACACUACCAGGC
rnacentral:lncRNA from 1 species